rnacentral:lncRNA from 1 species
GUCCUGGACCCACAUUAUAGGAUUCUAUGAGGUCCUGUGGGGUCCUAUGGGGUAUUGGACCCACACUAUGGGAUCCUGUGGGAUCCUAUGGAGUCCUAUGGGGUCCUAUGGGGUCCUGUGGGAUCCUAUGGAGUUCUAUGGGGUCCUAUGGGGUCCUAGACCCACAUUAUAGGGUCCUAUGGGGUCCUGGACCCACACUAUGGGGUCCUGUGGGGUCCUAUGGGGUCCUGGACCCACAUUUUGGGGUCCUGUGGGGUCCUAUGGGGUCCUGGACCCACACUGUGGGGUCCUAUGGGUCCUGGACCCACACUAUGGGGUCCUGUGGGAUCCUAUGGGGUCCUGGACCCACGUUAUAGGGUCCUAUGGGGUCCUGUGGGGUCCUAUGGGGUCCUGGACCCACACUAUGGGAUCCUGUGGGAUCCUAUGGAGUCCUAUGGGGUCCUGGACCCACAUUAUAGGGUCCUAUAGGGUCCUAUGGGUCCUGGACCCACAUUAUGGGGUCCUGUGGGAUCCUGUGGGAUCC